UACGAAGGGGGCUAGCGUUGUUCGGAAUUACUGGGCGUAAAGCGCAUGUAGGCGGAUAUUUAAGUCAGGGGUGAAAUCCCAGAGCUCAACUCUGGAACUGCCUUUGAUUCUGGGUAUCUUGAGUAUGGAAGAGGUAAGUGGAAUUCCGAGUGUAGAGGUUAAAUUCGUAGAUAUUCGGAGGAACACCAGUGGCGAAGGCGGCUUACUGGUCCAUUACUGACGCUGAGUUGCGAAAUCGAGGGGAGCAAACAGG
rnacentral:rRNA from 1 species